rnacentral:rRNA from 1 species
AUACGGAGGAUGCAAGCGUUAUCCGGAUUUAUUGGGUUUAAAGGGUGCGUAGGCGGUUUGCUAAGCGGGAGGUGAAAUGCCGGCGCUCAACGUCGGAAGUGCCCCCCGAACUGGUGGACUUGAAUGACUACGCCGGGGGAGGAAUGUGUAGUGUAGCGGAGAAAUGCUUAGAGAUUACACAGAACACCGAUUGCGAAGGCAUCUCACGAAGGGUUGAUUGACGCUGAGGCACGAAAGCGUGGGGAUCAAACAGGAUUAGAUACCCUGGUAGUCCACGCAGUAAACGAUGAUGGCUAACCGCUGGGCUUAUCAGUUCAGUGGCCAAGCGAAAGCGAUAAGCCAUCCACCUGGGGAGUACGACCGCAAGGUUGAAACUCAAAUGAAUGGACGGGG